rnacentral:rRNA from 1 species
AGGGUGUAAACGCUGCGGGCUUGGUGUUGGGGGUCCUUAGUGGGCGCCCAGUGCCGGAGAGAAGUUGUUAAGCCUGCUGCUUGGGGAGUAUGUCCGCAAGGAUGAAACUUAAAGGAAUUGGCGGGGGAGCACCGCAACGGGAGGAGCGUGCGGUUCAAUUGGAUUCAACGCCGGACAACUCACCAGGAGCGACGGUUACAUGAAGGCCAGGCUGAUGACCUUGCCUGACAAGCUGAGAGGUGGUGCAUGGCGUAGUCGUGU